UGGGGAAUAUUGGACAAUGGGCGAAAGCCUGAUCCAGCCAUGCCGCGUGAGUGAUGAAGGCCCUAGGGUUGUAAAGCUCUUUCACCGGGGAAGAUAAUGACGGUACCCGGAGAAGAAGCCCCGGCUAACUUCGUGCCAGCAGCCGCGGUAAUACGAAGGGGGCUAGCGUUGUUCGGAAUUACUGGGCGUAAAGCGCACGUAGGCGGACUAUUAAGUCAGGGGUUAAAGCCCGGGGCUCAACCCUGUGACUGCCUUUGAGACUGGUGAGCUAGAGUUCGGGAGAGGUGAGUGGAAUUCCGAGUGUAGAGGUGAAAUUCGUAGAUAUUCGGAGGAACACCAGUGGCGAAGGCGGCUCACUGGCUCGAUACUGACGCUGAGGUGCGAAAGCGUGGGGAGCAAACA
rnacentral:rRNA from 1 species